ensembl:lncRNA
CCACACUCUAGAUAAGAACAUUUUAAUUCCAAUUCAUACAUUAUUAAAGGUGAAAAAAAUACAUUUUAAAAUAUGCUUUCUUAAACUUGGCACAAAAUUAAUGAAGCACAGUCUUGGAAAACUGUUCAUGCCACAGGCAAGAACGAUAAAUGGUUAAAAAUGGAUGAACCUGUUGUGGAUCAAGUUCAGGCAGUCAGUCUGUUAAAAGCAGUAUACUUCAAUCUCUUAUUCAUAACACAUUACACAGCAUCCAGUACGUCACAGCAACGAAAUUAAACGACAAAUGGUCACGUACAAAUCAACCACUCGAGGCUUGUUGUGGGUUAUGCUGGCCCAGAGGUGCAAAUGUGAGUGUUGCCUUGCAGCUAAUGAACAUAAAGAAGACAGAUCAUAUAAUUACAAAGAGAUUAAAUAAAGAGAUUAUACAAAAUCCACCCCACGACGUGACAAAACAACGGGCCAAAAUGAACCAGCAGUGUCAGUCUGCGUCAAGGAAAGCCAACCUCCUGGCAAUCCCCCUUUCUCCAAACUUCUUUUGCAGUUCCGAAGUGUCACCGGAAAGCAGCAGGCGGUCAUCACAACGUUCCCAUCGAGGGCCCUGCCAAGCCCCGUCCACUGAAAUUAUGCAAUGACAUUUGACUUUCCACAUGUUGCAGUGGCCAACAGAAACGUGUUGUCUUCUGAUUUCUCAACCCUCCCCCUCCAGAUAGAAUACAUCACACAAAUACGUACGUACAUACGUACAGAAUCAAACUAAGGUGUUGAGCCCACGGAUGGAGAACAUGUUAAGGGACUUGGGCGAUGCUUGCAAUUCCCUCAUUUUCUCCAACUUCCAUGUUCCCGGGACACAAGGUUCACCUUCGUUGGACUACGAAGACUACGCUACCUACCUGGAUUGGGCAAAAUCAGUGGGUCUUGCAAAGCAGCAGAGACGACUCCACUGUUUUUCAGAAGGGCCUUGGUGAUGUCGACAAGCCCCAGUUUCGAGUCCUUAAUCAGGCUGAGGAGAUGCUGCUUGGCCUGGUCAAGCUGGAGCUGGGUAAGAGGCUGGGAUGCCUCAUCUUCCUCCACCUCCUGUUGAGACUCAUGCUCAAACAGGAACAGGUGAGGAGCUGUGGAGGUGGAGGGGAGAGUAUUUGGGCCAGGACUACCCAGUGCUGAAGAAGCUGACGGGGCAGCAGGUUCUUCCGUGACAGGGAUGCUCUUGGCAAUUUUUGCCGGACCUCCGGCCUCAGGCGGUUGGUACCCAGGCUGUGUCUCUGAGCGCUUCUCCUGGGCCGGGGACCGGUGCGAUUUCUUUGGCUUAGGGGAGCCGUUCUCUGGCUGGGGGGCUGAGGCUGACGUCUGGGUCUCCUGGCCGGAUCCUGGUUGUGUUGUACGGGAUGCCGAGGAUGGAGCAACGCUUUCAGCCAGAUCUGGAGUUUCGUCAUCAUCCUCAUCAUGAACUGACUGGGAAAGGAUAAUAAGUAUCAGUAUUAAGAACAAGACAGAAUUUGACCAGAUUUUUUUAUUUAGCUACAUAGUCGAGAGCAUACAUGAAAACAACACCCACAUCAUGACAAUUUACUUUCUAAUGCAGAUUAAUUUCCAGUAAUUUCUGAGUUUGUUUCCCGUAUCUACGCCCUAACUAACUGGACAUGAUGAAAACCCAAGUGUCACAGAUAUUACCUCAUCCGAACCCUCAAAUUCUCUCACUGCCCUCUCAAGGAUGCCCAGUUUUCGCUUCUUGGCCCUUUUCUUUCCCACCUGCCCCUCUGUUGCGUUGGAGGUUGUAGCCCCUGUGAAACAUGUUUUUGUUAUAAAUAUAAGUAUAAUUAAAAAUGUGUUAUAAUGUUGUUAUAAUGUUGUUAAUUGAUCGAAAAAUUCAUGUGAUAAUGUGAAAAGACGAAUACCAAGAGGCAAUGAUAGAAACAGAAACAGAGAUAGAGACUGAAGCAGAGAAACUGUGACAGAGAGAGAGUGAAUGAGA